rnacentral:rRNA from 1 species
CGGCGAGUGAAGCGGCAAAAGCUCAAAUUUGAAAUCUGGCUCCUUUAGGGGUCCGAGUUGUAAUUUGCAGAGGAUGCUUCGGGAGCGGCCACGGCUUAAGUGCCUUGGAACAGGACGUCAUAGAGGGUGAGAAUCCCGUCUUGAGUCGUUGGUCCGCGCCCAUGUGAAGCUCCUUCGACGAGUCGAGUUGUUUGGGAAUGCAGCUCUAAGCGGGUGGUAAAUUUCAUCUAAAGCUAAAUAUUGGCCGGAGACCGAUAGCGCACAAGUAGAGUGAUCGAAAGGUUAAAAGCACCUUGAAAAGGGAGUUAAACAGCACGUGAAAUUGUUGAAAGGGAAGCGCUUGCGGCCAGACUCGGGUACAGGGUUCAGCGGGUGCGUGUCACCCGUGUACUCCCUGUUUCUCGGGCCAGCAUCAGUUCUGACGGCCGGUCAAAGGCCUCUGGAAUGUGUCGUCUUUCGGGACGUCUUAUAGCCAGGGGUGCAAUGCGGCCUGUUGGGACUGAGGAACGCGCUUCGGCUCGGA